CCGUCGGGCUGCCUGGACCUAGAUUUUUAAACAAAAGAUUAUGUCCUACGGAAGUUACUGCUGCGUGGUCUGGUGUGCCAACAAUGGGAAAACAAAGAAGCCACAUGUCAAGUUUUUUCGAAUUCCACGUGACCCAAGGUCAAAAGCAUGGCUACAGUACGCCAGACGUCCUGAGCUCCUAGGAAAGACAGCCAAGGAGCUCUAUGAGGGGUAUCGCCU